UACGUAGGGUGCAAGCGUUAAUCGGAAUUACUGGGCGUAAAGCGUGCGCAGGCGGUAAUGUAAGACAGUUGUGAAAUCCCCGGGCUCAACUCGGGAACUGCUUCUGAUACUGGCGGACUUGAGGCCAGUAGGGGUCACUAGAACUGACGGUGGAGCGGUGAAAUGCGUAGAUAUCGUCAGGAAUGCCGGUGGUGAAGACGGGUGACUGGGCUGGUUCUGACACUGAGGCACGAAAGCGUGGGGAGCGAACGGG
rnacentral:rRNA from 1 species